rnacentral:lncRNA from 9 species
CAAGGGGCGGGGUCAGGACCGGGGUAGGAGUCGGGGUCACAGGCCCGUGGCCGGCACUCACUGGGCUCCUGGUCGGGCGGCUCGAUGUUGUAGCCGUAGCCCAGCAGGGUGCGCACAGCCUGGCAAAGGCUGUCCCGGUUGCUGCGCUUGGUGGCCUCGUCUAGCAGGCGGUAGGGCACGAGGCGAGGGUUGCGGCGCGCUGGGAUGUCCUGCACAGCACUGUAGCUCCAGCCCUGGGCCACUCGGUCUCGGGCCCACACGUUGUGCCCGUUCUCCGCCAGCCGGUCCACCAGCGUGGUCUGCGCAGGCGUCAGUCUCACAUGGCUCAGGUCCAGUGGCGCUGGCUUGUACCCAUUGCUCAUCAUGUACGUCUUGGGGAGUUUCGUCUUCCUCAGGUUGUAAUUCCUCUCGGGCUCCGGGAGGCUGUGGAAGUCCACGAGACACGGGUGCAGCCGCUUAUUGUCAUCCCGAACCUGGGAAACCCCAGAGUC